GCUGGAUCGUCCUUGUGCCCCUAUAGAAAGGCUGGAGAUAAGGACGUAGGUGCUACCGGGGUGAAGCACAAGAAGCAUGGAGAGUGGCGUACAAGGUUGUGCUUGAAGAAGAAAAAUAGCCGUGUUCCAGUUUCUGCCUUCCAAAGAACUGAUACCGACUACAGCAAUGAGCUUACCUCAUGGCACUGAUCCCUGGGAAUUAAGCAGCUUCAGGAAAAUCACUGGGCUUCUUCAUUCAUAAGAAAUAUAAGGAAAGUGUGUCUGUACAGCGUCUGGCAAAGUAGUCCCCUGAUCCCUUGCUGGACAGGGAGGAGCUGCCAGCAUUAAGCACCAAGGGAGCAAGCUGAUAGGAAAUGCACCUGACCUAUUGAGGUGGCACGAAGGCUGAAGUGUGAUCCUGGUGAAAGGGAAAUUCAGAGAAAUUGCUCCAUCAAGUGUUGAAAGGCUUUGCUUAAAUCUGCAACUGUAUUUUCCUGGGUGUUUUUGAGGCGUGUGAACUUCUUCCUGAGAAGUAAAGCUUGUGUGAUGUGGAGAAUUGCUUCAGUGCAGAAAGACUGUAAACCUGUUCAAUUAAAGGAAGUGCUCAGAUCCAGCUGUUGGUGUCCCAUGAAUGCCAGCGGUCCUAGCAAAGUAAAUAAGGCAGACACACUCCGCCUUUGGAACAGAUACGAAGAUUUGCGUCUUAAUUCUCCUGAAAGAAGAGUCUUUGUUUGGAAAAGACCGUUAGCAAAAUGAAAUAGAUGGCAGCAGAAGGGCAGUAUGACACAGAAGAAGCAAAGGUGCGUCACUGAACUCCUCCAUACAGGAAAAAAAUGGCACUACUGAAAACAGAGUGAACACAAACAUCCAUAAAGCAAACGCAAACAAAAACAAUGCAAAGUUAACCUAAACGAAAAAUAAAUGUAAGCAAAGUUAACAUAAAGUAAAUGUAAACAAAAAUGUAAACAAAAGGAAACAAAAAACAAUCUAAACAAAAUAGAAGCUAACAUAUGCAAACAAUGUAAACAAACUAAAGGUAAACUAAAACAAAGUAAAUGAAAACAAAAUUAAUGUAAAUGCAAACAAAACGUAAAUGUAAACAAAGUUAAUGUAAACAAAAACUUAAUGUAAAUAAAAACAAAGCUAAUGUAAGCAGAGUUAACAUAAACAAAGCUAAUGUAAACAAAAUAGAUGCUAACAUAAACAGUUAACGUUAACAAAGUUAAUGUCAACCAAAACAAAGCUAAUGAACUUAAGGUAAACAAAAAUGUUAAUGUCAUGCAAACUAAAAGAAAGCUAACAUAAACAAAGUUAAUGUAAACAUAAAAUUAACAUAAACAAAUACCAAAUAUAAACAAAAGCAAAGUUAAUGUAAACAAAGGUAACAUAAACAUAAGCAAAGCUAAUGUAAAGAAAAACAAGGUGAUCGUAAACAAAAUAGGAGCUUGUGUAAACAAAGUUAAAGUGAGCAUAAACAAUGUUAAUGUAUAGAAAAACAAAGCUAAUGUAAACAAACUUAAAUGAGAAUGAACUUAAUGUAAAUGAAGUUUUAAUGUAAACAAAGUUAAUGUAAUUGAAAACAAUUAAUGUAAACAAGAGUAAAGCUGAAGUAAAUAAAGCUAAAGAAAACAGACCAGUAAAUGUAAACAAUGUAAAUGAAAACAAGGUUAAUGUAAACAAAAACAACGUGAACAUAGAAAAAUUAACGUCAUCAAAAACAAAGUUAGCAUAAACAAAGGUAAUGUCAACAGAAAUAAAUUUAAUGUAAACAGAAGGAGGUUAAGGUAAUGACAACGUUCAUGUAAACAAAGUAAAUGCAAACAAAGCUAACAGACACAAAGUUAACAAAAACUAAUGGUAAAGAAAGCUAAGGUGAACAAAAAUAAACAGAGACAGUUAAUGUGAACAGAAACAAUGUUAAUGUAAACAAGAACAAAGCAGGCUUCAACUUACUGUAAACAGAAACAAAGGAAAUGUUCUCACGUUUAAUGUAAAGAAAUGCAAUGUAAAUGUAAACACACUUAAUGUGAGCAUCAACAAAGUAAAUGAUAACAAAGUUGAAUCAAAAUCAAGUGAAAUGUAAACAAAGUAAAUGUAAAAAAAUCAAAUUUAAUGUAAACAAAAAUGAAGACUGUAGACAAAAACAAAGUAAACAUAAACAAAGUAAAUGUAAAUGCAAUCAAAUAAGCGAAGUACACAUAAAUAAUAAAGAAAACAAACUGUGCCAUGAAAUAAAUAUUUUAUUUUUAUGUUGUCUAUGUGUGCUUUAUUGUUUCUUGUUUAUUCAUUUUAUUAUUAUUGUUUAUUUUAUUCAUUAUUUUUGUUUAUAUUGUUUAUUUUUUUUUACUGUAUAAACAAUAUAAACAUAAAUAAUAAACACACUGGAAACAAUGUAAACAUCAAAUUAAUAAGCGGGUCCAGAGGAGGGAUCUAAGAUGAUCAGAGGGCUGGAGCAGCUCUCCUAGGAGGAAAGGUUGAGGGAACUGGGCUUGUUUAGCUUGGAGAACAGAAGGCUUUGGGGAGAUCUCAUUGUGGCUUUCCAGUACUUGAAGGAAGCAUAUAAAAAGGAGGGGGAAUGGCUGUUUACAAGGGUGGAUAGAGAUAGGACAAGGGGGAAUGGUUUUAAACUGAGACAGCGGAGGUUUAGGUUAGAUUUUAGGAGGAAGUUUUUCACACAGAGGGUGGUGAAGCCCUGGAACAAGUUGCCCAAGGAGGCUGUGGAUGCCCCAUCCCUGGAGGCAUUCAAGGCCAGGCUGGAUGUGGCUCUGGGCAGCCUGGUCUGGUGGUUGGCGACUCUGCACAUAGCAGGGGGUUGGAACUGGAUGAGCAUUGUGGUCCUUUUCAACCCAGGCCUUUCUAUGAAUCUGUGGUUCUAAACAACAAAAAUAAUAAAAACAACAAAAAAUAAAUAAUAAAAAGAUAAAAAAUAAAGAAUAAGAUAUUAUAAAAAUUAAAAAAAAACCGAAA